UCAGCCCUGAAUCAAGGCCAGCAGUUUGUUAAAGCUGUUGGUUUUAAGCGAGAGCCUAAAGAAUUGUCUUUCUAUGAUCUGUUGGCCAUUUCAGAACUUUGGAAAUGUAAUGAUCAAUUCAUUAGAAACAGUAAGAG